rnacentral:rRNA from 1 species
UACGUAGGGUGCGAGCGUUGUCCGGAAUUAUUGGGCGUAAAGGGCUCGUAGGCGGUUUGUCGCGUCGGGAGUGAAAACCCAGGGCUUAACUCUGGGCUUGCUUUCGAUACGGGCAGACUAGAGGUAUGCAGGGGAGAUCGGAAUUCCUGGUGUAGCGGUGAAAUGCGCAGAUAUCAGGAGGAACACCGGUGGCGAAGGCGGAUCUCUGGGACGGUACUGACGCUGAGACGCGAAAGCGUGGGGAGCGAACAGG